UGUUAUUGUAAUGGGGAAGUCUUUAGGACCCAGGGGACCCAAUGGAGGGUAUAAAAGAGGAAGUAGCAGCAGGUGCUCUUCAUUUCCACUGACGAGCGGCUGUGAACAAUGGUUGUGUGAGUAGGUGAAGAGCCUGAGAAGUUUUAAUUGUCUGCUACACAAAAAGUUGUUUUAAACCUCUACAGCAGAGGUUCGAGUGAUUUUUACAAGAUAAGCCAAGAUAAGCCAGGUGUGCAGCAAACACAGUUGUCUGCUGGAGGGCAGGCUGCACAUGUGAAUUUGUCACUGUUUUUUCCUCCUUCUCCUUGUUGUUGUGUUUUUGGUUUUGGUAGGGUCACCUUUUAAAACUGUUUUUUUAUGCCGGGUUUGUUUUUAUUUCUACUGGGCUGGUGCAAUAUUAGUCGGGCAAUGUGCAAUCCCUGAGUGGGGCUCUUACC
ensembl:lncRNA